CCUACGGGAGGCAGCAGUGAGGAAUAUUGGUCAAUGGGCGCGAGCCUGAACCAGCCAAGUAGCGUGAAGGAUGACUGCCCUACGGGUUGUAAACCUCUUUUAUAAAGGAAUAAAGUGAGGCACGUGUGCCUUUUUGUAUGUACUUUAUGAAUAAGGAUCGGCUAACUCCGUGCCAACAGCCGCGGUAAUACGGAGGGUGCGAGCGUUAAUCGGAAUUAUUGGGCGUAAAGUGCUCGUAGGCGGUAGGCCAAGUCAAGGGUGAAAUCCCCGCGCUCAACGUGGGAACUGCCUUUGAAACUGGCAAACUGGAGUGAGUGAGAGGAUGGUGGAAUUCGAGGUGUAGCGGUGAAAUGCGUAGAUAUCUGGAAGAACAUCAGUGGCGAAGGCGACUAUCUGGCGCAUAACUGACGCUGAGGAGCGAAAGCGUGGGUAGCAAACAGGAUUAGAUACCCUAGUAGUC
rnacentral:rRNA from 1 species